GGAAAGAUUAGGAAAGCAUAGGAUUAAUACAAAAAAAGACUCGAAAUCAAUUGUGGGGAAACCCACCGGGGGUUCGAAUCCCUCCCUCUCCGCCA
rnacentral:tRNA from 1 species